GUUUCCGUAGUGUAGUGGUUAUCACAUCCGCCUAACACGCAGAAGGUCAUGGGUUCGAGACCCAGCGGAAAUU
rnacentral:tRNA from 1 species